UACGAAGGGGGCUAGCGUUGUUCGGAAUCACUGGGCGUAAAGCGCACGCAGGCGGAUUGAUAAGUCAGGGGUGAAAUCCCGGAGCUCAACUUCGGAAUUGCCUUUGAUACUGUCUGUCUUGAGUCCGGGAGAGGUGAGUGGAAUUCCUAGUGUAGAGGUGAAAUUCGUAGAUAUUAGGAAGAACACCAGUGGCGAAGGCGGCUCACUGGCCCGGAACUGACGCUCAUGUGCGAAAGCGUGGGGAGCAAACAGG
rnacentral:rRNA from 2 species